CAGCAGUGAGGAAUAUUGGUCAAUGGACGAGAGUCUGAACCAGCCAAGUAGCGUGAAGGAUGACUGCCCUAUGGGUUGUAAACUUCUUUUAUAUGGGAAUAAAACAGGGUAUGCAUACCCUCUUGUAUGUACCAUAUGAAUAAGGAUCGGCUAACUCCGUGCCAGCAGCCGCGGUAAUACGGAGGAUCCGAGCGUUAUCCGGAUUUAUUGGGUUUAAAGGGAGCGUAGGUGGAUUGUUAAGUCAGUUGUGAAAGUUUGCGGCUCAACCGUAAAAUUGCAGUUGAAACUGGCAGUCUUGAGUACAGUAGAGGUGGGCGGAAUUCGUGGUGUAGCGGUGAAAUGCUUAGAUAUCACGAAGAACUCCGAUUGCGAAGGCAGCUCACUAGACUGCAACUGACACUGAUGCUCGAAAGUGUGGGUAUCAAACAGGAUUAGA
rnacentral:rRNA from 1 species